AUUGAACGCUGGCGGCAUGCUUUACACAUGCAAGUCGAACGGUAACAGGCCUUCGGGUGCUGACGAGUGGCGAACGGGUGAGUAAUGCAUCGGAACGUGCCCAGAGGUGGGGGAUAACGCAGCGAAAGCUGUGCUAAUACCGCAUGUGAUCUGAGGAUGAAAGCGGGGGACCAGGCAGCAAUGUUUGGCCUCGCGCCUUUGGAGCGGCCGAUGUCAGAUUAGGAAGUUGGUGGGGUAAAGGCCUACCAAGCCGACGAUCUGUAGCUGGUCUGAGAGGACGACCAGCCACACUGGGACUGAGACACGGCCCAGACUCCUACGGGAGGCAGCAGUGGGGAAUUUUGGACAAUGGGCGCAAGCCUGAUCCAGCAAUGCCGCGUGCGGGAAGAAGGCCUUCGGGUUGUAAACCGCUUUUGUACGGAACGAAAAGGCUCUGGCUAAUACCUGGGGCUGAUGACGGUACCGUAAGAAUAAGCACCGGCUAACUACGUG
rnacentral:rRNA from 1 species